rnacentral:rRNA from 1 species
AGGGAGAGGGUAGUGUAGUUAACACCUGCAUUAUUUGACGUUACCUACAGAAGAAGCACCGGCUAACUCCGUGCCAGCAGCCGCGGUAAUACGGGAGGGUGCGAGCGUUAAUCGGAAUUACUGGGGCGUAAAGCGCAUGCAGGCGGCCUGUUAAGUCAGAUGUGAAAGCCCGGGGCUUAACCUCGGAAUUGCAUUUGAAACUGGCAGGCUAGAGUCUUGUAGAGGGGGGUAGGAAUUUCAGGUGUAGCGGUGAAAUGCGUAGAGAUCUGAAGGAAUACCAGUGGCGAAGGCGGCCCCCUGGACAAAGACUGACGCUCAGAUGCGAAAGCGUGGGGAGCAAACAGGAUUAGAUACCCUGGUAG